rnacentral:lncRNA from 1 species
UCCAACCUCAAUGAUUCUAUGAUUCUAUGAAAGUCACUUGAAAGUCAGAGCUUGUAUUUAAGGAACAGUUCUACGAUAUGGAUCUUGCUUUCAAAACUUUGCUGGAGACCUACGAAGAGUCAGACUUGGACACUUCUCUGAUAUUAAUGACUGUAAUUAUUUUCAGGUAAAUAUCACACUAGUAACAGAUUCGUUUCUCUCUGGUUUAAAAUACUCUAUUUGCUUACAGAUAUGCAGUUCAUGGGUGCAAACUCAGACUUCUCAAUUUUCUGCUCAAUGGUGCUCUAGCAUGUUUUUGUGUUGUUUUUCUGCCUUCUCCAAAUCUUCAUCACUUUGAACCUGUAGUGUGCUCGUCAUGAUGUCACACAAAACAAAUGCUCUUGAGAGAUUUUUCACGCAACACUGCAUUAACAGGGCCAUAAGUUUUUACAGACUUUUCUAAUAGCUGCAAGCUAAUUUCAAAAUGUUUUUCAAAUCUCCUGUUGUUUCUUAUUUUCAAGCCUUUUGACACCAUGGUAGAGCAAUGCACAAUAAUAAUAACAAUAACAACAAUAAUAAUAAUUAAAAAAAAAUGUGUUGUUUUAAUUGCACAUAAUUAGUUUCAGUAUAUCCCUCUGUAUGUUCAGAUCCUGUCUACUCUGCUCACUACUUCAAAAUCUAUUGCUUACGAACAUAAAUUCACAUUUACAAGAGUUUGUUGACCAGGUUAAUGAGACAAAUCUGUUUCAACACCCCCUACCCUACCCUACCCCUACCCCUAUCACAGGUAGAGCCAUUUUCAUCUGAAUUGGAGCAAAGAUCAUCUCUCAGGUGCACUUCCACAGAAAUAUGGGUCCACCUUCAGCCACAGAACUGGAAUGCGAAUCUAUACCCCCCACUGUUGCCGUUGCCACAGCGCACAUUUAAAGUAGACUUUAGCAUAGGAGCCUCAUCAAGGAAUUUCAGUGUAACCCUGACAUUUCAUGGCUUUUUCCAAGUUUGAACAUGACAUACAGUAGUAUCAGAGUUGUCCUUACUUCAUUUACUGUUAUUCUGCAAUAUUCUGUCAAAAAACUGUCAUCACUGUCUUGUGUAAGGACACAGCUGAACCUGUGGAGGAAGUUAGUGUGAGCUGUUGAUGUGCCAGUGGGAUAGACAUCUGAGUGAACCGUACCUUUUAAUUACAAAUAUACUCUCAGCCUUGAUAGACCACAUAUGAAGAAAGAAGUUAAAAAAAAAAAAAGGAAGAAAUGGAAAAGUACUGUAAAUAAACAAUUACUACUAU